UACGUAGGUGGCAAGCGUUAUCCGGAUUUACUGGGUGUAAAGGGCGUGUAGGCGGGACUGCAAGUCAGAUGUGAAUACCACGGGCUCAACCUGUGGCCUGCAUUUGAAACUGUAGUUCUUGAGUACUGGAGAGGCAGACGGAAUUCCUAGUGUAGCGGUGAAAUGCGUAGAUAUUAGGAGGAACACCAGUGGCGAAGGCGGUCUGCUGGACAGCAACUGACGCUGAGGCGCGAAAGCGUGGGGAGCAAACAGG
rnacentral:rRNA from 1 species